UACAUAACAUUGCACUUUAAUAUAAAGUAUGCUUGGAUUGUUUUCAUGUAUGCUAUAUAUUAUUGCAAAUUAGUUCUUCAUAAAAUUGUAUAUUUCUGCUGUGAAAAAGUAUGUAUGCAAUCAUGCAAGUUGUAGGAAAACAUGUACGUGUACUGCACAUGUACCAGGAAGACAAGAUAACAAUUAUGACUGUCAAUCAUCAUUUGCUGACUGUAUCUGUCAAGCUGACUACACAGACUAUAGUAGCCAAAGAUAAGUUGUAGAAAGUGUGUUUCAGAGUUGAAUAUAUGAAUUAAAGCAUUGGCACAGUGAAUGGCAGCUGAAAAAUUUUGACCCUUGUUUCUGGAAGUGAAAUGUUAGAUGGUUUGAUGAAGUGCCACAGAGAUUAUCGCUUAAAGAAUGCGUGCAGGCCAACCACCAACACAAGAUAUUAAAAGAGCAAUGAAAAUGAAGAUUUAACUAUAAAGAAAAAUCUGACUAAUAUUAUUACUCAUAACACUUAAUUGUUUCAUAUUAUUGUAAAUUUAUUUA